rnacentral:rRNA from 1 species
UACGUAGGGUCCGAGCGUUGUCCGGAAUUAUUGGGCGUAAAGAGCUCGUAGGCGGUUUGUCGCGUCUGCUGUGAAAUCCCGAGGCUCAACCUCGGGCCUGCAGUGGGUACGGGCAGACUGGAGUGCGGUAGGGGAGAAUGGAAUUCCUGGUGUAGCGGUGGAAUGCGCAGAUAUCAGGAGGAACACCGGUGGCGAAGGCGGUGGUCUGGGCCGGCACUGACGCUGAGGAGCGAAAGCGUGGGUAGCAAACAGG